rnacentral:rRNA from 1 species
UACGAAGGGGGCUAGCGUUGCUCGGAAUCACUGGGCGGAAAGGGUGUGUAGGCGGGCUGGUAAGUCAGGGGUGAAAUCCCGGAGCUCAACUCCGGAACUGCCUUUGAUACUACUGGUCUUGAAUAUUGUUGAGGUAGGCGGAAUGUGUCAUGUAGCGGUGAAAUGCAUAGAUAUGACACAGAACACCGAUUGCGAAGGCAGCUUACUGGGCAAUGAUUGACUCUGAGGCACGAAAGCGUGGGGAUCAAACAGG